rnacentral:lncRNA from 1 species
GCCAUGAUUCUGAUGAAAGAUUAUUUUUCGGCAAGUGCAGAUUCGAUCAACGACUUUAGUGUCGUUAACGUUGUAGAUCCAAUGACAUGAGUAUUCUGGAGACUUGAAUAUAAUCAUAUUUGUAUGCAUUAAAUAGAUGUUUUAUGUUAUUAACAUAGAUUCUACGAGUUUGUUUGCAGAUUCGUCUUUUUUGUUUUUAACGACUUUAAAUUUGUAUUAUAUCAAAAUAUAUU